UACGGGGGGGGCAAGCGUUGUUCGGAAUUACUGGGCGUAAAGGCUCGUAGGCGGCCAACUAAGUCGGAUGUGAAAUCCCCAGGCUUAACCUGGGAACUGCAUCCGAUACUGGAUGGCUUGAAUCCGGGAGAGGGAUGCAGAAUUCCAGGUGUAGCGGUGAAAUGCGUAGAUAUCUGGAGGAAUACCGGUGGCGAAGGCGGCAUCCUGGACCGGCAUUGACGCUGAUGAGCGAAAAGCUAGGGGAGCAAACGGGG
rnacentral:rRNA from 1 species